GGCCGAAGGGCUCAGUUGGUUAGAGCGCCGCCCUGUCACGGCGGAGGGCGCGGGUUCGAGUCCCGCUUGGGUCG
rnacentral:tRNA from 1 species